GACGAACGCUGGCGGCAUGCCUAAUACAUGCAAGUCGAGCGAACAGAUGAAGUGCUUGCACUUCUGACGUUAGCGGCGAACGGGUGAGUAACACGUAAGGAAUCUACCUAUAAGCGGGGGAUAACAUUCGGAAACGGGUGCUAAUACCGCAUAAUAUCUUCUUCCGCAUGGAAGAAGAUUGAAAGACGGCUCUGCUGUCACUUAUAGAUGACCUUGCGGUGCAUUAGUUAGUUGGUGGGGUAACGGCCUACCAAGACGAUGAUGCAUAGCCGACCUGAGAGGGUGAUCGGCCACAUUGGGACGGAGACACGGCCCAAACUCCUACGGGAGGCAGCAGUAGGGAAUCUUCCGCAAUGGGCGAAAGCCUGACGGAGCAAUGCCGCGUGAGUGAAGAAGGCCUUCGGGUCGUAAAACUCUGUUAUAAGAGAAGAACAAAUUGUAGAGUGACUGCUACAGUCUUGACGGUAUCUUAUCAGAAAGCCACGGCUAACUACGUGCCAGCCGCCGCCGUAA
rnacentral:rRNA from 1 species